rnacentral:rRNA from 1 species
UUCGGUGCGGGCUGCGAGAGCGGUACCAAAUCGUAGCAAACUAAGAAUACUAGGUAAUGCUUUCCGUUAACCAGUGAGACGAUGGGGGAUAAGCUCCAUCGUCGAGAGGGAAACAGCCCAGAUCACCAGCUAAGGCCCCAAAAUGACCGCUAAGUGGCAAAGGAGGUGGGAAUGCUAAAACAACCAGGAGGUUUGCUUAGAAGCAGCCAUCCUUUAAAGAGUGCGUAAUAGCUCACUGGUGAAGCGUUCUUGCGCCGAAAAUGAACGGGACUAAGCGGUCUGCCGAAGCUGUGGGUGACAAUAUAUUCUAAAGGAUAUAUUGUCACGGUAGGGGAGCGUUCCGCUCUAGGGUGAAGCUCCAACGUAAGUUGGUGUGGACAAAGCGGAAGUGAGAAUGUCGGCUUGAGUAACGAAAACAUUGGUGAGAAUCCAAUGCCCCGAAAACCUAAGGCUUCCUCCACUAGGCUCGUCCAUGGGGGGUUAGUCGGGACCUAAGGCCAGGCCGAAAGGCGUAGUCGAUGGAAAACAGGUUAAUAUUCCUGUACUAGUUUUUAAGUGGGACCGAGGGACGAAGGAGGGAACGGUUGGUCAAUAUUGGAUGUUGACGGAAACGUUCAAGGUGAUGAGAGAUAGAAUAAAAACUAUUUUUGAGCUAAGGCGUAAUACGGUUUUAAUUCCCUGUUUUCGAGCGUUAAUUCUAUGGGUUUGAGCUUGCUCGAACUUAUAGUUGCUCGAACUUAUAGUUAAUUCUCAACUAGUUGUCAAACUUCCUAGAAAAGCUCGAACUUCUAAUACUUAAAAAUUACCCGUACCCGAAACCGACACAGGUAGGUAGGUAGA